CAGUCGCCGCGGGAAAACGUAGGUGGCAAGCGUUGUCCGGAAUUAUUGGGCGUAAAGCGCGCGCAGGCGGAUCGGUCAGUCUGUCUUAAAAGUUCGGGGCUUAACCCCGUGAUGGGAUGGAAACUGCCAAUCUAGAGUAUCGGAGAGGAAAGUGGAAUUCCUAGUGUAGCGGUGAAAUACGUAGAUAUUAGGAAGAACACCAGUGGCGAAGGCGACUUUCUGGACGAAAACUGACGCUGAGGCGCGAAAGCCAGGGGAGCGAACGGGAUUAGAUACCCCAGUAGUCCCUGUCUCUUAUACA
rnacentral:rRNA from 1 species